GGAGGGUGCAAGCGUUACUCGGAAUCACUGGGCGUAAAGGGUGCGUAGGCUGGCUUCUAAGUCAGAUGUGAAAUCCAAUGGCUCAACCAUUGAACUGCAUUUGAAACUGGGAGCCUAGAGUUCAGAAGGGGCAGAUGGAAUUAGUGGUGUAGGGGUAAAAUCCGUAGAUAUCACUAGGAAUAUCAAAAGCGAAGGCGAUCUGCUGGGAUGAUACUGACGCUGAGGCACGAAAGCGUGGGGAGCAAACAGGAUUAGAUACCCUGGUAGUCCACGCCCUAAACGAUGAAUGCUAGUCGUCGGGGAGCUCGUCUCUUCGGUGAUGCACUUAACAGAUUAAGCAUUCCGCCUGGGGAGUACGGUCGCAGGAUUA
rnacentral:rRNA from 1 species